UGGGGAAUAUUGCACAAUGGGCGCAAGCCUGAUGCAGCCAUGCCGCGUGUAUGAAGAAGGCCUUCGGGUUGUAAAGUACUUUCAGCGGGGAGGAAGGGAGUAAAGUUAAUACCUUUGCUCAUUGACGUUACCCGCAGAAGAAGCGCCGGCUAACUACGUGCCAGCAGCCGCGGUAAUACGUAGGGCGCGAGCGUUGUCCGGAAUUAUUGGGCGUAAAGGGCUUGUAGGCGGCUUGUUGCGCCUGCUGUGAAAACGCGGGGCUUAACUUCGGGCGUGCAGUGGGUACGGGCAGGCUUGAGUGUGGUAGGGGUGACUGGAAUUCCAGGUGUAGCGGUGGAAUGCGCAGAUAUCUGGAGGAACACCGAUGGCGAAGGCAGGUCACUGGGCCAUUACUGACGCUGAGGAGCGAAAGCAUGGGUAGCGAACAGG
rnacentral:rRNA from 1 species